rnacentral:rRNA from 1 species
UGCCAGCCGCCGCGGUAAUACGGGAGUGGCAAGCGUUGUUCGGAAUCACUGGGCGUAAAGCGUGUGUAGGCUGCGCGGAAAGUCAAAUGUGAAAGCCCGGGGCUCAACCUCGGAACUGCAUUCGAUACUCCCGUGCUAGAGUAAUGGAGAGGUAAGUGGAAUUCCUGGUGUAGCAGUGAAAUGCGUGGAUAUCAGGAGGAACAUCAAUGGCGAAGGCAACUUACUGGAUCGAUACUGACGCUGAGGUGCGAAAGCGUGGGGAGCAAACAGGAUUAGAUA